CAAGGAAUCCGAUGAUUCAAGUAAUCGUUAAGCAAUUUCCUCUUGGAAGGAUUUCGUUUAAAACUGUUGCAAGAUUUGUACAACGUAAACGAAAGUGGAGAUUUAGAGAUGAAGUAAAAGCACAUUUGAAAUUAAGAAAUCAAGAUUGACAAUAACAUAUGCAAGGAAGGGUGCUAUUGUUUAUCUUAUAGCAUGAGAGAUUCUAGUCUCUAAUUAUGAGAGUUGAUUGCUCGUAAUUUAUUCAGACCAGGAGUGAAGUUUUUAAUACUAAUUAAUUUUUAAUAUUACUCUGUUAAUAUUUGGAAAAAUUGAAAUGAGAGAUUUAAAAAAAGAAGACACCAUAAAAACGAAGAGAUGCCCUGAAGAUAUCGUCAAGAUUUUAUGUAACAAUUUACUCCGAAGCGUGCAUGAUGUCAUUUAACGCGACGUUAGAAUAGUUUCACGUAGCAGCUUGCGAAAUGUUUAUGUUAUUAUUUAUAUUCCCGUGUAAAGCAUACGUGCCUGGGCCGCAUUAACGGAGAUGAUUACACAGGACCAAGUGUACUUACAUAAUGAAAUGCAACAACCUACUGUGUACCUACAAAAUGAGCUGUGCAAUAUCUAACUGCGCCUGGAAGUUGAAACGUGUGCACUUCGUCUAUUGAAGGAUAGUGAUUGUGCAGUUAAUCUACCAUUCCAGGAGAAACAUGUUAAGAUCAUGGACAAUGAUGUGAAAGAAAUCAUUAGUGCUAAGGAAUUUUAGAUUUGAGCAAACAAGAAGCAUUUUAUAAUUUACAAUUUAUAAGUGCAAUCUCAUGUAUCAGCUAAUAUUAGUUUCACAUGCAAUGUACCAAUCUGAGGUUUGAAUAACGACCCAGAAACAUUAUUGAUUGAUCUCGUCAAUUCUUAUUAAUGGCGGUAAGUGUUGAUACUUCAAACUGAAUUUGAAACGCUCCAUCAUCUUCUCUAUCCUUAAAGAUACAAUUAGAGGUUCUUCAAAAGAAAAUAAUCUGGGUCACCCGAAAUCACUGCUCACAGAUAAACAAAUGAACCGAAUCACGUGUCAGGAAUCAUGGUGAAGGAUAAUAGCGCCAACGAACACUUAUCAGACUCCUGAUUACCUGUCGCACCACUCUAUCCAUACUCAAGAAGACUCAGAAACCGGAGCACCGUGUGUAAAGUUGAAUUAUGGUGACGUUUUGCUGCCUAGCUGGCUUAUAUAGAGAGCCCGUGUAACGCCUACAAAGAUUCAUUUCCUGUCGGCCACGGAUCCAGCUGGAGGAGUGGAUCCGUGUGGAUCCAUGUAUAAAACUGGGGGGGUUACCCCUUAUACUCUAGUUCACAUAGGUACGCGAGACGUGUGGAAAGCCCGCGCUUUAUUUCCCAUUGUUCUGCCCGAGGCAUGUGCGAUUUUGGGGCGGCGCGUGUAUGAGAGGAACGCCGAGCGUCUUCUAGAGCGGAGAAAGCUGAUUACCUCAUCGCGUGGGACAGCCUGCCGGCGAAUCUGACUGAAGACUCUUGCUACUCGAGCCUUUUAAUUAGCCAAUAAGGGGCUUAAUUAACACCCAGGACCAUUGUCCAUCUCUUGAUUCAUUGGAAGAUUUUGCAAUCAUACUUUAGGUUACCUCCGUCUCACCUGACCUCUUGGGCUGCUCCUGGACAAGCUGGAAAUUUAAUUGUACAACUAACCCAUGUUUGGUAAAUUGAAGGCAUUGUGCAGUAUGGAAUGGAAUACAGCACUCUUGAUUGUGUGAUGAUCAGAGACAAAGAUAUGAUUAUGAUCUUAAUGACUGAGAGAUUAUAGCAGAUGUACUUCCUUGGGAUCUUUUAAAGAAUUUGGAAACAAAAUUUAUGCUGAUUUAGACACCUGGUAUGAUGUACGUCUGUUUAAUUGAUGGCAAUUCAUUGAAAUUUGUAUCCAUCCGCUGAAGGGUGUACUACAUCCUAAAACACAAUCGUAGUUGCAUAAUAGGAAUGAAAGAUCCAUUCGUUUCGUCGGCGUCAGACCGCAACGCAUCAAGGAUCUUCAAUCUCAACACGAGUUUGUUGGCAUGUAACGAGCAACGACGCGUGACAAGAAACGGCACGAGCUGAGCACAAUGUGUAACGCAAAUGAAUGCUGAAUCCGACGAGAUUGGCACGCGGGACCGAUUUAGAAAGUACAUUUGAACGGCGUUAAAAUUGCUUUUCGACUUGGUCAUUCUUCUUAACCACCGUUGUUAUAUUAUUACGGAUAAUCUUGUUUCGCAAUCGGUGCCAUCUCAGAGAGUUGUUCAGUUUCAUUCAGAAGAUAUAUAAUUUUAACAUAAUAGAAACUGGGAAGCUCUGAUCAAUUAAACGAUCAACCAUUAAGAUGACUGAGAACCGUUCUUGGUGUCCUAGGACUUGUACCUAGUUAGGAGGUGCAACGAGAUGAAUAAUUGCUGAUCUGGUUUAGGACAAUGGCCACAAUCAGAACGGUCGAUCUAAUCUCUUUGAUCAAUUAGUUAAAAUGAAAACCUAAUCAAGAGGGGCUUUAUUGUUUAUUUAGUGUGCGAAUUCUCACUUUCGAUUCCUUUCGUAACCUUUCCCUGAUUGUUCACCGUUACGUGAACGGAAACCAUUGCGUUACGAUAAGCACAUGGCUCCACCGUUGGACGUUUAACAAUGAUGCCAUGAAGCAUUGCUCGACGUUGGAUUGGAAGAAGGUCGACCUACUAAGUGAAGAAGAAAAUUGAAAUCAGCAUAAAAUGUAAAGAAGAGAAAAUCAAACAAUGCUUCUAGAUCUCGGCGUGCUAGCAUGAUAGACAAGGUCGUUACGUGUUCAAAGGAUGCUCUAAAUUCGUCCCAAUUCUUAUUGCGCAAGCAUCCUUCGGAUGAUUUUGUACUUGUCUGCUUUGAUGUACUUAGAUUUAUUGUGAAAUUUGAUGGGAAUAAUGAAUCGAGCCAGGGAAGAUCUGGCGUCUAACAAAAAACUUCAUUAUUUCAUCAUCUUUGGCAGACUCUUCGAUCAGCCAUCAGUAUCGAAGGUGAAUCAAGGAUAUGGUUUUUAACGUGAGAUUAAUGAAACAUCAUUUUGGAUCAUUAUUGUGGAUGAUUAAACUGAAUUGGAUCUCUGGGAACUGAUGCUAGAAAAGAAACUUCAUUCAAAUACAGAUUGAAUGGUUUAACGUUUGAACUGAUGGAUUUUAGAAAUAAGCAGGGAAAGAAAUCUUCAGAGGAGAGAAAUAUUAAUUUUGAUAUUAAUUGUAGAAGAGAUGGAUUUCACAAGCAAGCAGAGUAGCUGAUUGAAGAAAUAAUUGCUAUACGUUUAUUAAUGCAAUGAAAGCAUGUGUUUGGUUGAAGUACAUGCAAUUUAAACUCGACACCAUAAUUGUUUCCUAGUCGAUAGAGUAACAGCAAUUGAACUGAAUAUAUUAGCAUCUUAUUGACCGAUUGGGUGUAAGGCCGAUUGUUUCUUCUAUUAUGCUGUUAAUGCGAGUGAAAAUCAC